CUUGUCCUACGGGGCGUAGCAGUCGGGAAUAUUGCGCAAUGGAGGAAACUCUGACGCAGUGACGCCGCGUGCAGGAAGAAGGUUUUCGGAUUGUAAACUGCUUUAGACAGGGAAGAAACAAGACAGUACCUGUAGAAUAAGCUCCGGCUAACUACGUGCCAGCAGCCGCGGUAAUACGUAGGGAGCAAGCGUUAUCCGGAUUUAUUGGGUUUAAAGGGUGCGCAGGCGGAAGAUCAAGUCAGCGGUAAAAUUGAGAGGCUCAACCUCUUCGAGCCGUUGAAACUGGUUUUCUUGAGUGAGUGAGA
rnacentral:rRNA from 1 species